CACGUCCGGCCGCGGCGCCCGGCGCAGGCGCGGCUUCCAGCGGCCUGGAAAACCCGGGGCAGAGCGUGGCUGGCGCGGAGUCGCGGGACAGCUCGGGCCCGCGUCGAGAAGUUUCACGGUAAUCAACUUAUUGUUGGUGUUUGGAGUGUGUGUGUAUGCUGCUAACUUCUACAAGGCUAACUGGAAGCUGCUCACAUGUUAUCAGCACCAGUGUAGAUGCAAAGAUAGGCAAUGCCAAGCCCUGUACAAGUAGAAAUGGUAAGAACCACAUGGUUCUAGAAGGAAGCUCACCAAGUGCUGGGACAGUCGGAAAAGGCUCCAGAUCAGAGACAGGGCUUGCACUGGGCCUUGCGUCCACCACAAAUGCUUGGUAAGUGUCCACUGUAUACAGGCACCAGCCAGAGUUUCGCAGACAGCAGUGAGCAAGCCGGCAGCCAUGCCCCGUCGCCAUGUGUGAAAGGAGAACCAAAAGGAAGCCAGCACGCAAGACCCCUCGUGACUGAGGGAAAAGCAGCACCAGAAGAGCUCGCAAGAAGUGGACUGAGCAUCUACAGUCUGCCAGACACAGGUGGAGAAAGAGAGCGGAGGCUUAUGGGGGAACCACCAUCCCCGCGUGAAUCAUCACAGCACAGCCAAAGAGCAGCACGUUCCGUAAAGCAGAGGGGCCAAGAGACGAGCCAGAAGGCCGGAGGAGGAGGAGACCUCUGACCUGCAGGAUCUGUACCAGGGACCACAGCAACCUCUGGGUGGAGAGCAAGGGCACAGCCCUGAGGAGGCGGAAGGGUGCUACGGGAGAGCUGACCAGAGACUGCAGACGCCUUGCAGGACUGGGAGGUGCUGGAACUUGGUGCAACCCAGGCAGCAGCUGAGACACCAGAAGGACCGCGCCCCAGGAGUCAGGGCAGCACACGAGGAGUAAGGGACAAAGUAAAUUACCUGAAGUGAGGAGCUCAUUGAAUUUUCUGAACAAUAGACAGGGCACAGCUGAAGAGAGGGUUUUUCAACUCAAAGUUCCAUCAGGAGAAAGCACCUGAAAACUCAGAAAAAAAAAAAAUCAAAAUGAGAAAAAGAUAACAGAAAGCAAUGUUAGAGAUGGGUGAACAGGAUCGAAUGGUCUGAUGUACAACAGUCGAAAGCUGUACUUCCAGAAGGAAGGAGAAAGAAAAUGGAGUAGAAAUAUUUGAAGGGAGAAUGUGUAAGAAGUUUACGCAGUGGGGCGCCUGGUUAGCUCAGUCGGUUGAGUGUCCGACUCUUGAUCUCAUCUCAGGAUGUGACCUCAUGGUUUGUGAGAUCGAGCCCUGCGUCAGGCUCCACGCUGGGAGUGGAGCCUGCUGGGGGUUCUCUCUCUGCUCCUUCCCUUCGCUUGUGCUGUCUCUCAAAAUAAACAUAAAGAAUUUUACAAAUUGAUAAGAAUACACCAACCACAGAUCCAAAAAGUUUGGUAAACCCCAAAGAGAACAAAUUCAAAGAAAAGCAUGUGGAGGCAUAUCACAGCCCAGCUUCUGAAAACCAAAGAUAAGAAUAAAAGUCCUAACAGGAGAGGCGCCUGGGUGGCUCAGUCAGUUAAACGUCUGACCUCGGCUCAGGUCACAAUCUCACGGUUUGUGAGUUCAAGGCCCGCGUUGGGCUCUGUGCUGACAGCUCGGAGCCUAGAGCCUGCUUUGGAUUCUGUGUCCCUCUCUCUCUCUGCCCCUUUCCCACUUAUGCUCUGUCUCUGUCUCUCUCUCUCAAAAAUAGACGUUAAAAAAAAAGUUCUAAAAGGAGACAAAAUUGAAAAGACACAUCACAUUCAGGGAAACUUCAUGAGAAUGACUUAUCACAAGCAGUGGUGCCAGAAGACAGAGACGGCAUCUGCAAAAUGCUGAAUGUCAAGCGGUCCUCCAGACCAGUAUUCAAUACCUAGCCAAAAUAUCCUUCAAAAAGUAAAGACGUAAUUAAUUUUAACACACGUAAAAAAAAGGUGUUUUCAGAUCAACAAAAGCUGAAGAAUGUCACCAGAAGAGGCCUUCGGGAAAGUAAUGACCUUUUUCAGGCCACAGGAAGGUGGCGGCAGUGGGAUCCCAGACCUGCACGAGGGCACGAAGACCUGGGCAGACGAUGGAGUGGGUGACUGUAAAACCAUUUAAAAUAACUUCUUUAAAAAAUUAUGGAGCAAACGCUUGAAGCAAAUUUUAAAGUCACACGUUCCGGGCUUUAGAGCGAUGCUGUGCGAGACAGUUUCUGAUGCUUUCAGUCCUGGUGCCUGCCCAGCACAGGAGCCGCCGCCCCGGGGGGAGCUCGUGGGCACUUCCAGUGUGGCUAGUGGAACUGAGGAGCUGAACUUUAAGGCUGCAUUUGGUUAUAAUUAAUGUAAUUGUAUGUUUAAAUAGCCACACGUGGCUAGUGGCUACCAGAUCAGACAAUGCAACCCACAGAAAUAAAAAAAUACGAUCACAAGAGAAGAAAA